rnacentral:tRNA from 1 species
CUGCGGUACAGCGUGGGCGUGAUGCGGUGCAGGUUCUCGACCUGCAGGGCAUCGAGCGGAUCGGCCCAGUGAUCGGGGCGCAGGUCGGAGG